CCAAUAGCGUAUAUUAAAGUUGUUGCAGUUAAAAAGCUCGUAGUUGAAUUUUGGAUUCUUCCAAUUGGUCCAUCUUUUAGAUGAGUACUGGUUGUGUGGGGUCUAUCCGCCUGGUGAUACGUAAUGUCCUUUAUUGGAUGUUGCGGGUAGUCAGGACCUUUACCUUGAAAAAAUUAGAGUGUUUAAAGCAGGCUUAUGCCGGAAUACAUUAGCAUGGAAUAAUAGAAUAGGACGAAGUUGUUUUAUUUUGUUGGUUUCUAGGACAACCGUAAUGAUUAAUAGGGAUAGUUGGGGGCAUUAGUAUUCAAUUGUCAGAGGUGAAAUUCUUGGAUUUAUUGAAGACUAACUACUGCGAAAGCAUUUGCCAAGGAUGUUUUCAUUAAUCAAGAACGAAAGUUAAGGGAUCGAAGACGAUCAGAUACCGUCGUAGUCUUAACCAUAAACUAUGCCGGCUAGGGAUCGGGCGAUGUUGUUUCCAUGACUCGCUCGGCACCUUAUG
rnacentral:rRNA from 1 species